GUCGUCGAGAGUAGUUUGAUCUCGGCGCAGGACGAACGCUGGCGGCGUGCUUAACACAUGCGAGUCGAACGCUGAAGCCCAGCUUGCUGGGUGGAUGAGUGGCGAACGGGUGAGUAACACGUGAGUAACCUGCCCCUUCUUUGGGAUAACGCCCGGAAACGGGUGCUAAUACUGGAUAUUCACUGGCCUUCGCAUGGGGGUUGGUGGAAAGGUUUUUUCUGGUGGGGGAUGGGCUCGCGGCCUAUCAGCUUGUUGGUGGGGUGAUGGCCUACCAAGGCUUUGACGGGUAGCCGGCCUGAGAGGGUGACCGGUCACAUUGGGACUGAGAUACGGCCCAGACUCCUACGGGAGGCAGCAGUGGGGAAUAUUGCACAAUGGGCGAAAGCCUGAUGCAGCGACGCCGCGUGAGGGAUGACGGCCUUCGGGUUGUAAACCUCUUUCGCUCAUGGUCAAGCCGCGACAUUGGUUGUGGUGAGGGGUAGUGGGUAAAGAAGCGCCGGCUAACUACGUG
rnacentral:rRNA from 1 species